AGGUUUUCCAGAUUCUGAGCAGUGUGGAAGGAGUUUUCGCUGAAGACCCCCAUGCCAGCUGCUUAAAAAUCCCAGACUGGCAGCACCGGGUCCCAGUAGCACGUUAUAUUUUGAAGAGUGGAGGUGAGACCCCCCCAUUCAUCCCCAGCUGGGGCCUAGUGCACAGCAGGUGUGAGUGAGUCCUUCGGAUGACCGCGCAACAUAGACAUGGGAUGCACAGGACACUGGCUGAAUAGAGGAAGCAGUGCACAGCUGACAGCUUUGGAGAAGUACGACUGAAGGCAGCCUGAAGAGUGACCUGUUAAGGGGGACAGCCUCGGAAAUCCAGGCAACUGGCAGCAGGUCAACAUGGCCUGUUAGCGUAAGGGAACCUGGAAACAUGGGAUUGAUUGGGAGCAUGGGGGUUGGUGCUGGAGAAGGACCAGGACUCUUGGUACCAUUGGACAGUCC